rnacentral:rRNA from 1 species
GACGAACGCUGGCGGCGUGCUUAACACAUGCAAGUCGAACGGAAAGGCCCUGCUUUUGUGGGGUGCUCGAGUGGCGAACGGGUGUGUAACACGUGAGUAACCUGCCCUUGACUUUGGGAUAACUUCAGGGAACUGGGGCUAAUACCGGAUAGGAGCUCCUGCUGCAUGGUGGGGGUUGGAAAGUUUCGGCGUUUGGGGAUGGACUCGCGGCUUAUCAGCUUGUUGGUGGGGUAGUGGCUUACCAAGGCUUUGACGGGUAGCCGGCCUGAGAGGGUGACCGGCCACAUUGGGACUGAGAUACGGCCCAGACUCCUACGGGAGGCAGCAGUGGGGAAUAUUGCACAAUGGGCGGAAGCCUGAUGCAGCAACGCCGCGUGCGGGAUGACGGCCUUCGGGUUGUAAACCGCUUUCGCCUGUGACGAAGCGUGAGUGACGGUAAUGGGUAAAGAAGCACCGGCUAACUACGUG